UAGAUCAGGCUAAAGCUUAUGGGGGCUGGGGGGCAAGAGGGAUGUCAAUAAGCCAUUGUGACUUGGCUAUGGCAGUACUAAGUCUCCCCUGUUCGCUGUUACAGAUCUGAACGCAACGCAGGGAGCUGUGGAUGAAAUAGACAGAAGCCAGUGCCUGUAUACGGAAGAGAAGAGAACUGGUUAAUACGGCAAAAGCAUCCCAGAGUCCAGCAAUAAACUCCAGCUAUCCAAUGUGACAAGUCGAACAACACCCUAUAUCUCAGCUUCCUAUGUGAGAGUGACUUGGAGGCAUUGGAUCAAUAAUAAAUCACUGGAGCAUCAAUGAGACUGAGGCCAGAUCCGACUAUAGACGCCCGACCCAACAUGUCCUCCCGGUUCCUCCACUGGUCAAAAAAUAUAUAAAAAAUAGUUCU